UACUAGUUCUCCUGUCUUCAGCAACAGAAGAGACCAAAAUCUUCUUGCCACUAGUUAUGAUACUGUAUUUCACUCCUUAGAGGACCUUUUACGGUCGUUUGCUAAAGUUUACGGAGAAUAUACUGAGCACUCAUGGAAUACUAAAUCUGACACUGUUACUUCGAAAUCGUUAGCACUUGAUCCCCCAGAAGUUGGCAGGAUUGUGGAUAUGGAUUUGGAUCUAGAUGUAGACACUAAAGAGAUAGAUCUUAUAACUGCCGGUGGAAAAGCUGUUGCCGGUGGGCCUGUUUCUACGGGGAACUGGAAGUUGGGCAUGAUAUCGCUUAUCUCAUGUUUUUCUCCGGUACUUCAGUUUCCUACAUGGGAUGUUUUAUAUAGUAUUAUGGAGAAGGAAUGUGAUCCUAAGGUAUUACGAAUUUUUUUAUCACAUGUCAGCGGUGGUUGUGAAUGUUGCUGCGCCUGCGAUGAACUAGCUUAAUGCAUCUCUUUGUGUGACUUUUCUUUCAGUCACUUGAAUUUUCGUUUUCAUUUCUCAGGAAGGGUAAGGGAAGCACUUCUUUCUUCUUAAAAGCAUGCCAGUAUUUGUUAGAAAGCCUGGACUACGCUGUUGAAGCAGUUUUAAAGAGCCUCUAUGAUUUUCAAAGGCUUGGACCCUUGGGGUUUGGCUCAGAUUUUAAUGAGAAAAGUUCUAUAAUAGUUUCGUUGAGGUCUCUUACUAGUUCUCCUGUCUUCAGCAACAGAAGAGACCAAAAUCUUCUUGCCACUAGUUAUGAUACUGUAUUUCACUCCUUAGAGGACCUUUUACGGUCGUUUGCUAAAGUUUACGGAGAAUAUACUGAGCACUCAUGGAAUACUAAAUCUGACACUGUUACUUCGAAAUCGUUAGCACUUGAUCCCCCAGAAGUUGGCAGGAUUGUGG
rnacentral:lncRNA from 1 species